ACGGCUCAGUAACACGUGGAUAACCUGCCCUAUGCUCUGGGAUAACCUCGGGAAACUGAGAAUAAUACCGGAUAGAUCACAACGCCUGGAACGGUGUGUGGUUGAAAGGUUACGGCAUAGGAUGGGUCUGCGGCGUAUCAGGUUGUAGGGGGUGUAAUGGACCCCCUAGCCAUCGACGCGUACGGGUGUUGGGAGACAUAGCCCGGAGACGGAUUCUGAGACACGAAUCCGGACCCUACGGGGUGCAGCAGGCGCGAAAACUUCACACUGCAGGAAACUGUGAUGAGGGAACUCCAAGUGGAUGCACAUAGUGUAUCUCUUUUCUCUACUAUUAAUCGGUAUUGGAAUAAGGGCUGGGAAAGACCGGUGCCAGCCGCCGCGGUAAUACCGGCAGCUCGAGUGGUCGUCGCUUUUAUUGGGCCUAAAACGUCCGUAGCCGGUUUGGUAAAUCUGUGGGUAAAUCAACUAGCUUAACUAGCUGAAUUCUGCAGAGACUGCCAGACUAGGAACCGGGAGAGGUGUGGGGUACUCAAGGGGUAGGGGUAAAACCCUGUCAUCCUUUGAGGACCACCAGUUGCGAAGGCGCCACACUAGAACGGAUUCGACGGUCAGGUACGAAGCCUAGGGGCACGAACCGGAUUAGAUACCCGGGUAGGCCUAGGUGUAAACGCUGUGAACUUGGUGUCGGGAGUCCGCAAUGGGCCCCCGGUGCCGGAGUGAAGAUGUUAAGUUCACUGCCUGGGGAGUACGGUCGCAAGGCUGAAACUUAAAGGAAUUGGCGGGGGAGCAC
rnacentral:rRNA from 1 species